AAGUCGUAACAAGGUUUCCGUAGGUGAACCUGCGGAAGGAUCAUUAACACGUAUCCACGUAUCAACCAACUGUGAACUUGUUCUCAACUUCGCCCCUGCGCCGGAGAGGAUGAAUUGGCAAUCGAAUGGAGAGGAUGAAAUGGGCCUGAUGAGCUUCGGCGAACAGGCACUCACCUUCGAUCAUCUGGAAGCAAUUCCAAACAAUUGUACCGCUCGCGUCAGGCCAACCCUUUCUACUCAUAUAGCUUCCCCUUUCAUGAAGCUAAGAGUGGAAUAUCAACACACAUCAUUCACCCCCUUUUUGCUAGUUGACUUUUAUAUGUUGUCUGAUUCAUCUUAAUUGAUGAGCCAUUCACACGUUUAUUACUUGAACGUUAAAAUUACAACUCUUAGCAAUGGAUAUCUUGGUUCUC
rnacentral:misc_RNA from 1 species